GGACUGACAAGGACUCCUAAGUUCAAUUACUAAAUAUGAGGUUCCCUGCUCAACUCCUGGGACUACUAAUGGUCUGGAUCCCUGGAUCCAGUGGGGUUGUUACCAUGACUCAGACUCCUCUCUCUUUGUCCCUCACCCCUGGAGAGCAGGCCUCCAUCUCUUGUAAGUCUAGUAAGAGCAUUCAGCAUAGUGAUGGAAAUACCUAUCUGAGUUGGCUCCGUCAGAAGCCAGGCCAGUCCCCACAGCUCCUGAUCUAUAAGGUUUCCACUAGGUUUUCAGGGGUCCCAGACAGGUUCAGUGGCAGUGGAUCAGGAACAGAUUUCACACUCAAAAUUAGCAGAGUGGAGGCUGAGGAUGUUGGAGUUUAUUAUUGUAUGCAAGCUACAAAACUCCCUCCCACAGUGAUACAUUACAGAACAAAAACUUCCCAGCUUGGCAUGGUCCAGCUGCCACAUGUGUUUCUUGUCAAGGGAGCAGCACAGCAGACUCUCAGACUCUUCUGGAAAAGGAAGAUGCUGGAGAACUCCAGGGUAUUGGUGCUUGCUCUCUGUCCCCUCUAUUACCUCUACUGUUUGCUGUAA